UAGGGAAUCUUCGGCAAUGGGGGCAACCCUGACCGAGCAACGCCGCGUGAGUGAAGAAGGUUUUCGGAUCGUAAAGCUCUGUUGUAAGAGAAGAACGGUGUGUGAGAGUGGAAAGUUCACACAGUGACGGUAACUUACCAGAAAGGGACGGCUAACUACGUGCCUG
rnacentral:rRNA from 1 species